rnacentral:tRNA from 1 species
GCCCCUGUAGCUCAGAGGAUAGAGCUCCGGUUUCCUAAACCGGGUGCCCGGGUUCGAAUCCCGGCUGGGGUACCA